rnacentral:rRNA from 1 species
AGUGAACGCUGGCGGUAGGCCUAACACAUGCAAGUCGAACGGCAGCACAGGAGAGCUUGCUCUCUGGGUGGCGAGUGGUGGACGGGUGAGGAAUACAUCGGAAUCUACUCUGUCGUGGGGGAUAACGUAGGGAAACUUACGCUAGUACCGCAUACGACCUACGGGUGAAAGCAGGGGAUCUUCGGACCUUGCGCGAUUGAAUGGGCCGAUGUCGGAUUAGCUAGUUGGCGGGGUAAAGGCCCACCAAGGCGACGAUCCGUAGCUGGUCUGAGAGGAUGAUCAGCCACACUGGAACUGAGACACGGUCCAGACUCCUACGGGAGGCAGCAGUGGGGAAUAUUGGACAAUGGGCGCAAGCCUGAUCCAGCCAUACCGCGUGGGUGAAGAAGGCCUUCGGGUUGUAAAGCCCUUUUGUUGGGAAAGAAAUCCAGCUGGCUAAUACCCGGUUGGGAUGACGGUACCCAAAGAAUAAGCACCGGCUAACUUCGUGCCAGCCGCCGCGGUAA